rnacentral:rRNA from 1 species
UCCAGACUCCUACGGGAGGCAGCAGUGGGGGAUAUUGCACAAUGGGGGGAACCCUGAUGCAGCGACGCCGCGUGGGUGAAGGAGCGUUUCGGCGCGUAAAGCCCUCUCGGCAGGGAAGAAGGAGGACGGUACCUGACUAAGAAGCCCCGGCUAACUACGUGCCAGCAGCCGCGGUAAUACGUAGGGGGCAAGCGUUAUCCGGAUUUACUGGGUGUAAAGGGGGCGCAGACGGCAGCGCAAGCCAGGAGUGAAAGCCCGGGGCCCAACCCCGGGACUGCUCUUGGAACUGCGCGGCUGGAGUGCAGGAGGGGCAGGCGGAAUUCCUGGUGUAGCGGUGAAAUGCGUAGAUAUCAGGAGGAACACCGGUGGCGAAGGCGGCCUGCUGGACUGCGACUGACGUUGAGGCCCGAAAGCGCGGGGAGCAAACAGGAUUAGAUACCCCUGUAC